rnacentral:rRNA from 1 species
UACGUAGGGGGCAAGCGUUGUCCGGAUUUAUUGGGCGUAAAGAGCGUGUAGGCGGCCACACAGGUCUGCUGUGAAAACUCGAGGCUCAACCUCGAGCUGUCGGUGGAAACCGUGUGGCUAGAGUCCGGAAGAGGAGAGUGGAAUUCCCGGUGUAGCGGUGAAAUGCGCAGAUAUCGGGAAGAACACCCGUGGCGAAGGCGGUUCUCUGGGACGGUACUGACGCUGAGACGCGAAAGCGUGGGGAGCGAACAGG